rnacentral:rRNA from 1 species
AUUCCAGCUCCAAUAGCGUAUAUUUAAGUUGUUGCAGUUAAAAAGCUCGUAGUUGGAUUUCGGGUGAGGAUGACCGGUCUGCCGUUGCGGUACGCACUGGACGUUUUCAUCUUGUUGUCGGGGACGCGCUUCUGGGCUUCACUGUUCGGGACGCGGAGUCGGCGCUGUUACUUUGAAAAAAUUAGAGUGUUCAAAGCAGGCAAUCGCUCUGAAUACAUUAGCAUGGAAUAACGCUAUAGGACUCUGGUCCUAUUGUGUUGGUCUUCGGGACCGGAGUAAUGAUUAAGAGGGACAGUUGGGGGCAUUCGUAUUUCAUUGUCAGAGGUGAAAUUCUUGGAUUUAUGAAAGACGAACUUCUGCGAAAGCAUUUGCCAAGGAUGUUCUCAUCG